rnacentral:lncRNA from 1 species
CUGGGUAUUCUUGAGGACUAUUACCACCGUUUACUGUGAUUAAUAGGAAGCAGAGAGAUCUGGAGGGUAGGAAGUGGUAGAGCAGUGUAUAAAAGAAGUGGACUGGCUGGAAGCUAGAGGGUCCUGUAAGAUAGGCACUGAGAAGCAAAACAAACAAAUGGACACAACAGAAGAAAAAUGAUAGCAGAGAAGAUCAAAAAGAGCGCUGAUAAGAGUUUUCUUUGGUGAGAACUGUUCAUAUUGGAACAUGGCAUUUUGUCAAAUGUCAAGAUUUUCAUGUAAAUUUGUCAUUUUAAACAAACCUUCAUUGCAAAAUCUGUGUGGCUCCAGGACAAAAGAUGAGGAGAGGAAGAAAAAUACCAGCCACACAAAUUUACUAACAGGAAAAUGCUAAAGAAAUACCCUGAAGUUGCUGAAAAAUUCUAUGCAAAUCCCCUACUGUUUUAGAUCGAUGAAGAGUAGUUAAUCCUUAUCAGUUCCUCCUACUGAAGCUAUUCUUCAUUAUUAAUUACUCCCUCAAAAAGAAACUGAAAUUGUAACCUGUGUGUGAAGGCACUCACUGGGGUGAGAUCAGGCAAAUAUUUUACUCACAGUGUCACUGUGGGGUUAUAUCUGUGUUGUUUUUUUGUUUUGUUUCCCCUUUUUCUGAUGUGCUUUCCCCUGCUGAAGAAUUUGGAAAUAUC